GAUAAACGCUGGCGGCGUGCAUGAGACAUGCAAGUCGAACGAAGGAUCGGGCUUGCUCGAUCCUUAGUGGCGGACGGCUGAGUAACGCGUAGGUGACCUACCCCGAAGUGGGGAAUAACUGCCCGAAAGGGUGGCUAAUACCGCAUGUGGUCGCACGUUCAUUCGUGCGAGUAAAGCCGCAAGGCGCUUCGGGAGGGGCCUGCGUCCGAUUAGCUCGUUGGUGGGGUAAUGGCUUACCAAGGCGACGAUCGGUAGGUGGUCGGAGAGGACGAUCACCCAGACUGGGACUGAGACACGGCCCAGACUCCGACGGGAGGCAGGAGUCGGGAAUUUUGCUCAAUGGGGGAAACCCUGAAGCAGCAGCGCCGCGUGAGGGAUGAAGGCCUUCGGGUUGUAAACCUCUUUUGUCAGGGACGAUGAUGACGGUACCUGGCGAAUAAGCCACGGCUAACUACGUG
rnacentral:rRNA from 1 species